UACGUAGGGUGCAAGCGUUAAUCGGAAUUACUGGGCGUAAAGCGUGCGCGGGCGGUUUUGUAAGACUGUCGUGAAAUCCCCGGGCUUAACCUGGGAAUGGCGAUGGUGACUGCAAGGCUAGAGUUUGGCAGAGGGGGGUAGAAUUCCACGUGUAGCAGUGAAAUGCGUAGAGAUGUGGAGGAACACCGAUGGCGAAGGCAGCCCCCUGGGUCAAGACUGACGCUCAUGCACGAAAGCGUGGGGAGCAAACAGG
rnacentral:rRNA from 1 species